AGAGUUUGAUCCUGGCUCAGGAUUAACGCUGGCGGCAUGCCUAACACAUGCAAGUCGAACGGGGUUUAUAUGACAGAACUCUCCGGAGGGAAGAUAUAUAAACCUAGUGGCGGACGGGUGAGUAACGCGUGGGCAACCUGCCCUGUACCGGGGGACAACAGCCAGAAAUGGCUGCUAAUACCGCAUAAGCCUGCUGUGCCGCAUGGCACAGCAGGGAAAACCACGGUGGUACAGGAUGGGCCCGCGUCUGAUUAGUUAGUUGGCAGGGUAACGGCCUACCAAGACAACGAUCAGUAGCCGGCUUGAGAGAGUGGACGGCCACAUUGGGACUGAGACACGGCCCAGACUCCUGCGGGAGGCAGCAGUGGGGAAUAUUGCACAAUGGGGGGAACCCUGAUGCAGCAAUGCCGCGUGGGUGAAGAAGCACUCCGGUGCGUAAAGCCCUGUCAGCAGGGAAGAAAAUGACAGUACCUGACCAAGAAGCCCCGGCUAACUACGUGCCAGCAGCCGCGGUAAUACGUAGGGGGCAAGCGUUAUCCGGAUUUACUGGGUGUAAAGGGAGCGCAGGCGGCGUGGCAAGUCAGAUGUGAAAACCCGGGGCCCAACCCCGGGAGUGCAUUUGAAACUGCCAUGCUGGAGUGCCGGAGAGGUAAGCGGAAUUCCUAGUGUAGCGGUGAAAUGCGUAGAUAUUAGGAGGAACACCAGUGGCGGAGGCGGCUUACUGGACGGUAACUGACGCUGAGGCUCGAAAGCGUGGGGAGCAAACAGGAUUAGAUACCCUGGUAGUCCACGCCGUAA
rnacentral:rRNA from 1 species